rnacentral:lncRNA from 1 species
UGGUGUGGAUGGGGGGUUAUUUAUAUCCAUCAGCUUUUGAUCUGGGCUGUCCAUCGCGUUUGAUCUGAACCGUCUGAUCGCAAUUAAAUAGGGAGUGAAUCUGGAUCGUUCAUCGUGAUCCAAUCUGUACCGUUCAUCGUGAUCUAAUCUACACCGUCUGCUCGUGUUCAAAUCUAACCGUCAGAUCGCGUUUGGGGAGGGAACGCAUCUGGGCCGUUUGUGCGGGCGGGAACAGAUAUGAGUUGUUCGAUCGCAUGCACGCAGAUCACCUGCGUGGCCUCUCGCGUGGCAGCGCGUCAGUGUUCGUUGCCACGCGAUGCGUCCUGAUUCGUUGGGACUAUUGACUAGGCAUCCUACGUGGUAAAACUUUUCUAAAUUAUAUU